CCAUCUCCUCAGGAUUCUUGUCUCCUAGAAACACAAAGAGAAUUCAGAGAGAGAGGAUCCUGUCAUCUCAGGACACGUCCAGAAGCCAAGGUCAGUGCUCCCAUUCACCACAUAACAAUGAGAACCAACGAGAACCAUCAUAAGCUCUACAGAGUAUCACAGGGCAAGCAAAUCAGCUUUAAGUGGAAAGACACCUGCUGCCAAGUCCAAAGACCUGAGUUCAAUUCCCGAAUGGUGAAAGGAGAGAACCAACUCCCACACGCUGAC